CCCUGCCUUAAUUUCCAAACCUCAAGCUCUAAUCCUCUUCCAUACCGCCUUCUUAGACACAGAAACACAGCUAAACGAUGUCGCACUUCGGAAGAUCUGGACCACCGGAUAUCAGAGACACUUUUUCUCUAUUGGUACUCAACAUAACUUUCCGUACGACUGCUGAUGACUUGUUUCCGCUCUUCGAUAAGUAUGGAAAAGUUGUUGAUGUUUUCAUCCCGAGAGACCGAAGGACUGGAGAUUCAAGGGGCUUUGCAUUUGUGCGGUACAAGUAUCAAGAUGAGGCCCGGAAGGCCGUCGAAAAGCUAGAUGGAAAACUCGUUGAUGGGAGAGAAAUAAUGGUUCAGUUUGCCAAGUAUGGGCCCAAUGCUGAACGAAUUCACAAGGGGAGAAUUUCAGAACCAGUUUCCGGGUCAAAAGGGUCAAGAAGCCGCAGUCCUCGGCCAAGGUACCGGGAUGAUUACAGGGAGAAGGAUUACAGGAAGAGAAGCCGCAGCAGCAGUAGGGGUAGAUAUGAAAAGGAAUGGCAUCGUGGCAGGGACAGGGACAGGGAUUAUCGCCAUAGAAAUCGGAGCCGAAGCAGAAGUCGCAGUCUUACUCCUGGGUAUCGCAGAGACCAUGGCAGAGGCAAAUAUGAUUAUGAGAGGCGUAGUCGAAGUCGGUCUUAUGGGAGUGCUUCCCCUGCUCGACGUAGUCUUAGUCCCCAGAGGAGCCCUUCUCCGCGUAAAACAACUUCAAGGGGUGGAAGUCCAGAUGCUUGCAAUUACAUAGAGCGGUCUCCCACCCCAAAAAGUGUCUCUUCUGCUCAUCGUGGUACUGAUUCUCGUAGCCCUACUCCUCGUUCUGAUGCUGAUGAGUAAGAGACUGGAGUGAAGUUUGAUGGAUUGGCUAGCAGCUCUGUGUGGCUGCUUUUGUCUUUCAGAAUAUUCAGAUAUAUCGUAUCAUCUAUCAUCUAUUUAGUGGUUGCUAGAAGUGAUUUCCUCAAACUUAUUCCUAAGCUGUGACCAUGAGGAGUAGUUGUUGCUGAUUGACAAGAUGAUGCAGCAGCUAUUGAUGCUGUGCUGUUUUAUGAUGAUGCAGUGGCUGUUGAUGCUGCUUUUACUUUGCUGUUGAUUGCUAUAAUUUCUUGCUGAUGACAGAUUGCAGUUCCUAUAAAAACUUUCUGACCAGGUCAUAAUUGGUAAGGAUAACAAACUUAAAUGUAGUCUUAAAUCACAUUGGAAUUCUAAUUUUGACCUGACAGCGAUAUAUUUACUCCACUGAAAAUUUUGAAGUUAAAAUGUGAGUUUAGAACCAAUCAUUUAGAAGGUUGCUGGAGUCCAUGUAACGUGCGGAUGUGCUGUUGAUUAGAGAGAUUCCAUAUGCUGGUUAUAUUUUCAAGCCACAUGUGCAAUGUUGCUGUUAAGAUGACCAUGGUGCUGAGAUAUUAAUUUUCUUGCAGCAAUUGGUGGUCUAUUCAGCUCUUCAUUUAAUGUCACUUUUAGGGUGUAUUUUUAACACACAACGGUAGUGAUCUUGCCUUUGCAAUAGGAUGCAUAUCAAUAAGCUGAUAUUUGCACUAUGUUACAGCACGAGGUCGUGACUGUAGCUGGGAAUUGAUAGCCGGUAUUUUUGAUACACCUCUUGCUCGUAGCUAUAGAAACUGAUGCUGCUGAGUUGAUGAAUGGUUUGGUGGCUGUUUUGUAGCUGGGUGCUGUGGAAGUGCUUUGUUCAUUUCCUGUUCGAUUGCCUCUUGUAGGGAUGAAAUUGCAUAUAGAUAUGUGAUGUCUGUGGGAGUGGGUGACUGUUAAAACAGAUUUGCUGCUUGAUUCUCAAGGAUGCUCGAUUUAUCCGUGCAACCUUGCUACGGUUUAAGCUUAUUGGAUGCUUUUUAUAUUAAGAACGCGAACUAAUAAAGGAGAAUAUGUUAUUAGGAGAGAAUGUUGUGAUUUUUUAAACUUGAAGGGAUGUGUCUGUAUUUUGUUGCAAGUCUGAACGGCUUUCUUUCUAAUUUUCUCGAAUAGUAAUAUACUGUAAAAACUCUUAUAUAGCA